GAGGGUGGGGGCUCCAGAGCCCACACUAGAGCCAGAACCAGGCUGGACUGAUGACUGACUGACGGACUGACUGACGAAGAGGGGCCUUCCCAGGACAAGGGACUUGCCCACCAGCCCCCAGACAGUGCUGGGCCAGUGGGGGGCUCCGAGGAGUGUCCUCCUCCCUCCCAACCUCGCUGCCCAAUGGGGCACCCUUUGGGGAGCAGCUGCCCCGAACUGGAGGAGGGUCCUGGAGCCACAGCACCUCUGCCCACGGAUGCCCAUCUGCAGCCAAGUGGGAGCAAGGGCAUCAUGGCCCUGGGUUUUCUGCCUCAAGGGGGACAGAGAGGCAGCUCCUUGGAUCCUGGAAGGGGUGGAGGUAGAACCAUCCGGAAACGCCACAUCUACCAGAUGCACACAAGGGAAGACUGGCUUCCCGGCUUCCAGGGGCAAAGGCAGUCUUCCGGAGCUGGGGCUCACCCAGACAGCCCAAGACGGAGAUGGCGGGGGCAGCCGCUGGGGGUGAGGGCCAGAGGGGACUCGGGGAGGCACAGAGGGGCCCAGCGGCCCACGCGGAACCUGGAUCCUGGCCUGACGGGACUGGGGGCUUUGAGGUAGUUUUUUUUAACUGAGGUGAAAUUCACAUAACAU
rnacentral:lncRNA from 1 species